rnacentral:lncRNA from 1 species
AAAUACGGAAAGCAAUUAAACAUUUAGCAUUUCCCAUCAACGAGCAUAAUAUGAAUAAAUGUGCGCACAGCCUACCAAUGCAGACUCUACAUGAGCGUGACACCAAUCACUGGCUGCCACAUGCAUGAAUUCCGGAAUUUAACCUCUCCGCAGAGAGUCGUAGGUUUCAAGUGGACACCAAUCACUAGCUGUCGCACGCCUACUAAACCCC